rnacentral:rRNA from 1 species
CACCAGCACCCCGAGUGGUCGGGACGAUUAUUGGGCCUAAAGCAUCCGUAGCCGGUCAUGCAAGUCUUCCGUUAAAUCCAGCCGCUCAACGGUUGGGCUGCGGAGGAUACUACGUGGCUAGGAGGCGGGAGAGGCAAGCGGUACUCAGUGGGUAGGGGUAAAAUCCUUUGAUCCAUUGAAGACCACCAGUGGCGAAGGCGGCUUACUGGUCCGGUACUGACGCUGAGGUGCGAAAGCGUGGGGAGCGAACAGG